CUGUGGUGAGACGAUGUCAUCCUCGAGGCUGCUGAAUGUCUCAGGCGUUUUCAGCAAGUCACGGCGGUUCCUCCGAUCCCUGGGACACGGCUAAAGCUGCCAGCUACGUCACAGGAAGAUUCAUCGCAUGCAAGGAUGUGAUCAUGGACCUUGACAUCAAGGCAGCUGGCAUAAAGGAAUUCAGCCGAGUUUGUGCCAUGCUGAGACUCUGCCACUCCUACGCUUCUGACGCCGGAAAUGU